CGAACGCUGGCGGCGUGCUUAACACAUGCACGUCGAACGGAAAGGCCCUGCUUUUGUGGGGUGCUCGAGUGGCGAACGGGUGAGUAACACGUGAGUAACCUGCCCUUUACUUUGGGAUAACUUCAGGAAACUGGGGCUAAUACCGGAUAGGAGCUCCUGCUGCAUGGUGGGGGUUGGAAAGUUUCGGCGGUUGGGGAUGGACUCGCGGCUUAUCAGCUUGUUGGUGGGGUAGUGGCUUACCAAGGCUUUGACGGGUAGCCGGCAUGAGAGGGUGACCGGCCACAUUGGGACUGAGAUACGGCCCAGACUCCUACGGGAGGCAGCAGUGGGGAAUAUUGCACAAUGGGCGGAAGCCUGAUGCAGCAACGCCGCGUGCGGGAUGACGGCCUUCGGGUUGUAAACCGCUUUCGCCUGUGACGAAGCGUGAGUGACGGUAAUGGGUAAAGAAGCACCGGCUAACUACGUG
rnacentral:rRNA from 1 species